AUGCUGCAUCAACCUAAACGAACUAGAAAACUGCGGCGCCCUUCUGUUGCCCAUCAAUAUCGUCAGGUAUUCACCUUUCCUGAUUUUCAAUCUGCAUUAGGGUUUCUUAGUUCGUCGGCGUUCAUCAGUGUUCAUCGUAUUUCAAUUCAAAGGCGGAGAGAUGUGACCUUCCCAGCCGCCACCCUGCCGAUCGCGGCGGCGGAUGGCAAGUUCAUGCCGGUCAUCGACCGGAUGGCCGACUACUCCUUCGUCUACCCGUUCGGAUGGCAGGAGGUGUUUGUGCAAGGGCAGGACAAGGUGUACAAGGACGUGAUCGAGCCGUUGGAGAGCGUGAGCAUCAACAUGAUCGCCACCACCAAGGAAGACAUUCGAGACCUCGGCCCGCCCGACCAGGUCCCCGAGGCUUUGGUACGGAAAGUCCUAUCUCAGCCCACGCAGAAGACCAAGUUGAUCGAGGCAAAAGAGGUACAUAUAGAUGGAAGAGCUUACUACACUUUCGAGUUCACUGCUCAGGAUCCAAAUUUCACAAGACACGUGCUUGGCACAAUCACCAUAGCAAAUGGCAAAUUUUACACGCCGGCGACGGGUGCAAACGAGAGGAGAUGGGACAAGAUGAAGGACAGGCUUCAUACAAUCGUCGACUCCUUCAAAAUCGAAACAAAAGUGUCAGGGUGUCUGAGGCUUUGUGUUGAUUUUCUUUGUUGUUGGUUUGUUCAUUUUCAGAGCUGCAGCUGGCGCGAGGUUGAGCACUAA
rnacentral:rRNA from 1 species